GACGAACGCUGGCGGCGUGCUUAACACAUGCAAGUCGAGCGGUAAGGCCCUUUCGGGGGUACACGAGCGGCGAACGGGUGAGUAACACGUGGGUGACCUGCCCUCAGCUCUGGGAUAAGCCUGGGAAACUGGGUCUAAUACUGGAUAUGACUCCACGGUGCAUGUCGUGGGGUGAAAGCCUUGUGCGGCUGAGGAUGGGCCCGCGGCCUAUCAGCUUGUUGGUGGGGUGAGGCCUACCAAGGCGACGACGGGUAGCCGGCCUGAGAGGGCGACCGGCCACACUGGGACUGGAGACACGGCCCAGACUCCUACGGGAGGCAGCAGUGGGGAAUCUUGCGCAAUGGGCGAAAGCCUGACGCAGCGACGCCGCGUGAGGGAUGACGG
rnacentral:rRNA from 1 species